CAUGUUAAGGAAAUCAACAUGAAAAACACUUUAUUUCUAAUUGAGUAGAAUAAUUCAUUUCUGAAAUGUAUUCAUACUAUAGUAGAGUUAAUUAUUUGAACCACAGUCUAAAGAAAUGAAGAGCGCCAAACAUGCAGGAGGUUUUUGUACCAGCAGUAAUAGGGAUUGUAUCACUGUGGUACACUUUUGGUAGCGGCACAAGACUAGAUGUUGGAAGUAACAGUGCCCCCACCCUCACCGUCCUGCCCCCCUCUAGUGAGGAGCUGUCCAGUACAACAACAGCCACACUGAUGUGUCUGGCCAACAAGGGCUUCCCCUCAGACUGGACCUUGACCUGGAAAGUGGACGGGACCAACCAGAAGCAGGAGGCCAGUCCUACGGUCCUGGAGAAUGAUGGCCUGUACAGCUGGAGCAGCACCCUGACUCUCACUGCCCAGG